rnacentral:rRNA from 1 species
CUGACGAUGCUUUAACUGCAAGUCGAACGGCAGCACGGAGAGCUUGUUCCUGGUGGCGAGUGGCGAACGGGUGAGUAAUGCGUCGGAACGUACCGAGUAAUGGGGGAUAACGCAGCGAAAGCUGUGCUAAUACCGCAUACGCCCUGAGGGGGAAAGUGGGGGAUCGCAAGACCUCACGUUAUUCGAGCGGCCGACGUCUGAUUAGCUAGUUGGUGGGGUAAAGGCCUACCAAGGCGACGAUCAGUAGCGGGUCUGAGAGGAUGAUCCGCCACACUGGGACUGAGACACGGCCCAAACUCCUACGGGAGGCAGCAGUGGGGAAUUUUGGACAAUGGGGGCAACCCUGAUCCAGCCAUUCCGCGUGAGUGAAGAAGGCCUUCGGGUUGUAAAGCUCUUUCAGCUGGAACGAAACGGUACAUCCUAAUACGGUGUGCUAAUGACGGUACCAGCAGAAGAAGCACCGGCUAACUACGUGCCAGCAGCCGCGGUAAUACGUAGGGUGCGAGCGUUAAUCGGAAUUACUGGGCGUAAAGCGUGCGCAGGCGGAUUGUUAAGCAAGAUGUGAAAUCCCCGGGCUUAACCUGGGAAUGGCAUUUUGAACUGGCAGUCUAGAGUGUGUCAGAGGGGGGUGGAAUUCCACGUGUAGCAGUGAAAUGCGUAGAGAUGUGGAGGAACACCAAUGGCGAAAGCAGCCCCCUGGGAUAACACUGACGCUCAUGUACGAAAGCGUGAGUAGCAAACAUGAUUAGAUACCCUGGUAGUCCACGCCCUAAACGAUGUCAACCGGUUGUUGCGGGAGUGAAAUCACUUUAGUAACGAA